rnacentral:rRNA from 1 species
GAGUAACGCGUGAGGAACCUGGCUCAAAGAGGGGGACAACAGUUGGAAACGACUGCUAAUACCGCAUAAGCCCACGGGUCGGCAUCGAUCUGAGGGAAAAGGAGCAAUCCGCUUUGAGAUGGCCUCGCGUCCGAUUAGCUAGUUGGUGAGGUAACGGCCCACCAAGGCGACGAUCGGUAGCCGGACUGAGAGGUUGAACGGCCACAUUGGGACUGAGACACGGCCCAGACUCCUACGGGAGGCAGCAGUGGGGAAUAUUGCACAAUGGGGGAAACCCUGAUGCAGCGACGCCGCGUGGAGGAAGAAGGUCUUCGGAUUGUAAACUCCUGUUGUUGAGGAAGGUAAUGACGGUACUCAACAAGGAAGUGACGGCUAACUACGUGCCAGCAGCCGCGGUAAAACGUAGGUCACAAGCGUUGUCCGGAAUUACUGGGUGUAAAGGGAGCGCAGGCGGGAAGACAAGUUGGAAGUGAAAUCUAUGGGCUCAACCCAUAAACUGCUUUCAAAACUGUUUUUCUUGAGUAGUGCAGAGGUAGGCGGAAUUCCCGGUGUAGCGGUGGAAUGCGUAGAUAUCGGGAGGAACACC